AGGGAUCAUUACCGAGUUUACAACUCCCAAACCCAAUGUGAACCAUACCAAACUGUUGCCUCGGCGGGGUCACGCCCCGGGUGCGUCGCAGCCCCGGAACCAGGCGCCCGCCGGAGGGACCAACCAAACUCUUUUCUGUAGUCCCCUCGCGGACGUUAUUUCUUACAGCUCUGAGCAAAAAUUCAAAAUGAAUCAAAACUUUCAACAACGGAUCUCUUGGUUCUGGCAUCGAUGAAGAACGCAGCGAAAUGCGAUAAGUAAUGUGAAUUGCAGAAUUCAGUGAAUCAUCGAAUCUUUGAACGCACAUUGCGCCCGCCAGUAUUCUGGCGGGCAUGCCUGUCCGAGCGUCAUUUCAACCCUCGAACCCCUCCGGGGGGUCGGCGUUGGGGAUCGGGAACCCCUAAGACGGGAUCCCGGCCCCGAAAUACAGUGGCGGUCUCGCCGCAGCCUCUCCUGCGCAGUAGUUUGCACAACUCGCACCGGGAGCGCGGCGCGUCCACGUCCGUAAAACACCCAACUUCUGAAAUGUUGACCUCGGAUCAGGUAGGAAUACCCGCUGAACUUAA
rnacentral:rRNA from 1 species